rnacentral:rRNA from 1 species
UACGGGGGGAGCAAGCGUUGUUCGGAUUUACUGGGCGUAAAGGGCGCGUAGGCGGCCACCGCAAGUCGAUUGUGAAAUCUCCGGGCUUAACCCGGAAAGGUCAACCGAUACUGCGGGGCUAGAGUGCAGAAGGGGCAACUGGAAUUCUCGGUGUAGCGGUGAAAUGCGUAGAUAUCGAGAGGAACACCUGCGGCGAAGGCGGGUUGCUGGGCUGAUACUGACGCUGAUGCGCGAAAGCCAGGGGAGCGAACGGG